ACCCGGACAGACCUGCCCCACGCCCUAGAGGACGACCACCAUGACGUCGGGGUCCGCGGCCCUCAGGAGCGGGCCGUGGGAGGGGGGGUACUGUCACAGACACGUCAGGUUCCACCUCCCUGCAGUAUCCACGCACACAAUCACCAGAGUUUUAAUCACCGUCACCUGCACGUCAUCAACUCAGCAAUCACCAGCACCAUAUAACCACCACACUCACACACAGUCUUUGUCCGGUCUCGUUUGCACUACAAUCUCUGUAUGCUUACCUUAAGGACUCCAAACGGCAUACUUACCUGCUCCAGUCAUCUCCUCCAUCUCCUUCGUCUCCUGUUCUCCUCGUGUGCCUACCUGCCUGUGUGUGUGAGUGUGUGAGUGUCUCCGCCAUCAUCCUCCAACUCAACUCUCCAUCUGCAUCUGAAAGACAUCAGGAGGACAGUAUCACAUUCUCUCCAUCAUCCAAGAACUGCUAUAUCUUCACAUCAUCACUAUCUGCUCUGCUGUUUCACCAAUAAACCUACCUGUAUUGCUUUUACUCCUGCCUCCGUGUCUCUGUUGUAACAAUAUAAUAUAGCUUUUGCUUUCAUGCAACAUGGAAUAAAAUAUUUAUUCAGUAAUCAUGUCAGAUGAGCAAGUGCUCCAACUUCUGUACAUCUGUACACAUGAGAGGCAGUAAGAAGACAAGAAAAGUGAACGGCGUCCCAUGAAAAAGCCCUUUACUUUCAACACUGUCAGGGAUUUUUUUCCAGUAUUUUUUUAAUGUGUAUAUUUUGUAAAUGUUUCAUUGAUCAUAUUUUUAUUAUUGUGAUAUUUUGUGAUGUGAGUCCUUCUGUCUCUCCUGUAGAUCUCUGAUCCCAAUGAAGACACAUAUACAGCUCUUGAGCUCAAGUCCAUGACCUCUGACCUGUACGACACACUCACAGUAAAGAUCUCUGAUCCCAAUGAAGACUCAUAUACAGCUCUUGAUCUCAAGUCCACGACCUCUGACCUGUACAACACACUCACAACGGUUCAUCCCAGAGCUCCUGAAGACUCCUGCAGGACUCUUGAUCCUCAGAGCUUUUCUAAACAUGAGAAUCCAUCAAUCAACAGGAAGAUGCUGCAGUAAGAGGCGGAGCAUGAAGGAACCAAUCCUGUGCUCUGUGGGCGGAGCCACAUGUGAUUGACAGGAUCAUCAGUGAUGAGUCACACACGAGUUUCAUUUCUGUAUAGUUGAAGAAACAUGAUGUAGCAGAGGAAUUAAAUGAAAGUUAAAAACUUGUUAUUGUUUAAAUAUAAAUGUUAAAAUUAAUUCACAGAGCAAAACACAACCCAGCCAGCAGAGCCAUGUGGGGCCCAAAUGGGUUUGACCUGGG